rnacentral:lncRNA from 1 species
UUCUAGGAUUGGUUGUCCACUCAUAACCAUAAGAUAAUUAAAACGGGGGGGGGGGCAGGGUAAAAAAAAAACCCUUUUAUCAGCCAUAGGUUAAUGCAAGUGUUUAACAGAUGCUUCGCUAUUAAAAUAUUUUCCCCCAAUACUGAAGAAUCUUAAACCAGCAACCCUAACAGAGAUUGCGAAGAUUUUCAAAGUGGGGCACCUCGAUUUCUCGAAUCUGUGGUGUGGCGAAUAUCCGUGUUCCUCCUGCUUAACUAGCCUGUUUGAAGGCACAGUUCAUUCUCGAGUAAUUCGUCACCUCCUGGGGGUCUUCUCUUCCCGUCUACAGGAGAGUGUGACUUCAGAAAGAACUUCGGAUUGGCCAAGGCCAUUAAAGCUGGUGAGCGACUUGGAAGUCAUUUAG